rnacentral:rRNA from 1 species
UACGUAGGGGGCAAGCGUUGUCCGGAAUUAUUGGGCGUAAAGAGCUCGUAGGCGGCUUGUCGCGUCGGCUGUGAAAACCCGAGGCUCAACUUCGGGCUUGCAGUCGAUACGGGCAGGCUAGAGUUCGGUAGGGGAGACUGGAAUUCCUGGUGUAGCGGUGAAAUGCGCAGAUAUCAGGAGGAACACCGAUGGCGAAGGCAGGUCUCUGGGCCGAUACUGACGCUGAGGAGCGAAAGCGUGGGGAGCGAACAGG